rnacentral:ncRNA from 1 species
CACAAGCUUGGUCCUGACUUUACUGUCAGCUUUGAUUAAAUUUAUACAUGCAAGUAUCUGCAACCCUGUGAGAAUGCCCUACUUGUCCCUAAACUAGGGAAAAAGGAGCCGGUAUCAGGCACAACCCUACGUUAGCCCACGACACCUUGCUCAGCCACACCCCCAAGGGAACCCAGCAGUAGUAGACAUUAAGCAAUGAGUGAAAACUUGACUUAGUUAAGAUCAUGAAGGGCCGGUCAAACUCGUGCCAGCCACCGCGGUUAUACGAGAGGCCCAAGUUGACAAGCAUCGGCGUAAAGAGUGGUUAAUAUAUAACAAACUAAGACCGAACAUCUUCAAAGCUGUCAUACGCAUUCGAAGGCAGGAAGGCCCCCUACGAAAGUGGUCUUAAUAAAUAUGACCCCACGAAAGCUAGGGCACAAACUGGGAUUAGAUACCCCACUAUGCCUAGCCCUAAACAUAAGUACAUCACCACACCAUGCUCGCCAGGGAACAACGAGCCUCAGCUUAAAACCCAAAGGACUUGGCGGUGCUUUAGACCCCCCUAGAGGAGCCUGUUCUAGAACCGAUACCCCCCGUUCAACCUCACCCUCUCUUGUUUUCCCCGCCUAUAUACCGCCGUCGUCAGCUUACCCUGUGAAGGUUUAAUAGUAAGCAAAACUGGCAAAGCCUAAAACGUCAGGUCGAGGUGUAGCGUACGAGAGGGGAAGAAAUGGGCUACAUUUACUCUAGCCAGUAAAUACGAAUUUUGCACUGAAAUGAGCAUCUAAAGGAGGAUUUAGCAGUAAGAGGAGAAUAGAGCGCUCCCCUGAAAACGGCCCUGAAGCGCGCACACACCGCCCGUCACUCUCCCCGACCAUUGCAUUUUAUAAAUAAUAAACGGAGCCUAACAUCAAGGGGAGGCAAGUCGUAACAUGGUAAGCGUACCGGAAGGUGCGCUUGGAAAAACC